rnacentral:rRNA from 2 species
UGCAGUCGAGCGAACUGAUUAGAAGCUUGCUUCUAUGACGUUAGCGGCGGACGGGUGAGUAACACGUGGGCAACCUGCCUGUAAGACUGGGAUAACUUCGGGAAACCGAAGCUAAUACCGGAUAGGAUCUUCUCCUUCAUGGGAGAUGAUUGAAAGAUGGUUUCGGCUAUCACUUACAGAUGGGCCCGCGGUGCAUUAGCUAGUUGGUGAGGUAACGGCUCACCAAGGCAACGAUGCAUAGCCGACCUGAGAGGGUGAUCGGCCACACUGGGACUGAGACACGGCCCAGACUCCUACGGGAGGCAGCAGUAGGGAAUCUUCCGCAAUGGACGAAAGUCUGACGGAGCAACGCCGCGUGAGUGAUGAAGGCUUUCGGGUCGUAAAACUCUGUUGUUAGGGAAGAACAAGUACGAGAGUAACUGCUUGUACCUUGACGGUACCUAACCAGAAAGCCACGGCUAACUACGUGCCAGCAGCCGCGGUAAUACGUAGGUGGCAAGCGUUAUCCGGAAUUAUUGGGCGUAAAGCGCGCGCAGGCGGUUUCUUAAGUCUGAUGUGAAAGCCCACGGCUCAACCGUGGAGGGUCAUUGGAAACUGGGGAACUUGAGUGCAGAAGAGAAAAGCGGAAUUCCACGUGUAGCGGUGAAAUGCGUAGAGAUGUGGAGGAACACCAGUGGCGAAGGCGGCUUUUUGGUCUGUAACUGACGCUGAGGCGCGAAAGCGUG